UGAAAAUAACAAAUCCAAAAUACCAGUAAAAUUAUCAAAUGAUGGGAAAUCAAACAAAGACUACCAAAAUCUCCAAUCAGAUAGGUGCGAGUGUGCGACAAUGAGAAUCAACCAAACAGAUGAAAAUUUAAACUCAACAAAAACUUAAAACCUAUCUAAAUUAUCAUUGAGCUUAAUAAGAAGGAUAAAUUACACAAGGAUAUAAUAAGCUUCAGAUACAUACUACUGAAACUAACUUCAUUUUUUAUCAGGAUAAAGGAUAGACUAAUCCCAAGGUUAACCAUAUUGUAGAAAUGCUACACCUGACCCAAAUUUCCCAACUAAUCAACUCCAACCCAACCUCCCACAGCCCACAACAGUUGCUUCUUUUUCUUUUUACUCGUCAUCAUCAUCCUGCAAAAAAAGAAAAAAAUAUUAAUCCACCUGAAUUAUAAUAAAUUCAAGAAUUUAAAUUUUAGAAUUAGAGAACUAUACGGAAUUUAUACAAACCUCUCCACUCUCAUCAUCGUCUUCAUCAUCGUCGUGAACUUCUGAUCUUGACUUGUCAGACUCUUCAUCGUCAGCUGGUUCUUUUUCCUCGGCCU
rnacentral:lncRNA from 1 species